UGGGCAGGGGAGGAGUAAAGCAGAGGGGAGGAGAAAGCAAGGGUUAGUUUGGGGUCUUUUCUCUUUGUGUGUGAGUUAGAGGAACUGUGUCUGAGUGUUGGUGAAGUGCUGCUUUGCUGUUUAAGAAGCUGGUAGCGUAGUGAAAAUGGGGUGCUGCUGCAGUAAGGAACUGAGCCCAGGUCUGCUAAGUGAGAGGACCAGGCUGCUUCAGGCAUCAAGCCCAGAGGCGCUGGGGAUCAAACACCAGGACACACUACACACUAAAGCUUUGGCUCAACAUGUGUCUGACGAAAUGGCUCAACACACGUGUGUACCGGACGGACCGGCCAAACGGAAACUUCAGGAACAGGAGAAGAAGAACAAUGUCAUCCCGGACAACGUGUCGACAGGCCCCAAGGCGAGGCAUAGCAGUGUCAGUGGCAUGCGGAGUGGGGGGCUACUCACUCCGCAACACUCACACGAGGAGGAACUGGCUAUUAUUAACGCCUCCACAGGCCCCAGCAUGGUCACACAGACAAACACGGACACACACACACACAUGGACUCGACGGAGGCAGGCGUGCCACACACACCCGCUGCCAAGGCCAGGGCCAGCUGUGGGAAUGUUCCAUAUUUGGAGGAGAGUGUGAAGAGCCCAUUAAAACAGAAGACAGCAGAGAACACUAUGGAUAAUUCCGUUAGACAAAGGAUACAGAACACCAUGGAGAACCCACCCAAACAGAAGAUGGAGAAGACAAUGGAGAACCUAGCGAAACAGAUAGAGAAUACCAUUCAGAACCCAGACAGACAGAUAGAUAGGAUAGAGAACACUGUGGAGAGCCCAGUGAGACAGAGGAUAGUGGAGAACGCCCUGCUUAGGUCUACUUGGUUCAACCAGACCCCGGAGCCCGGCCAGGAAGAGACAGAGGGCUGGAGGACCCCCCUGGUCGGAACAUCCCCAACCCACCAGCUGUAUAAUAUCAGAGCUGGGGGGGAUUCCACUAGAGUAGGAGCAGAGGAAGAUGAGGAGGAAGACUGUGUCAUCAGGGCAACCUUGGGGCGGGGUUUCAGGGCCAGAGCUCAGAGCUUCUACAGCAUCUGUUCCAUCGAUGCUGACGACCUCGACACUGACCAAUCCAACACAGAGGAACAGACAGCCUUCAUCCAAUCACACACAGCGGAACCUACAGCAAUCCAAUCACACAUAGCCAAAACUACAUCCUCUAUUCAAUCACACGUAGCCGAACAUACAGCUUCUAUCCAGUCACACAUAGCCGAACCUACAGCUUUCCAAUCACAUUUAGAGGAACAUACAGCCUCUAUCCAAUCACCCGCAGAAAAACCUGAAGCCAAUGACCAAUCACACAGAGUGGAAUCUGCAAAGGCUGACCUAUCGCACAUAACGGAACCCAAGGUUUCUGAACCCAUGGCUUCUGACCAAUCAAAAACAGUUGAAUUUACAGCCAUCGACCAAUCACAAACAUUGGAACCUACAGCCUUUGACAAAUCCCACUGUGAGCCCCCCGAGGCACCUGUUCUGCCGGACCUUCUCUGGAGAAGCUAUGAGGACCCUCAGACUUCACAACAGGACAGCUCCAUCACCCCCGGAGACACCAGGACCCCACCACUAACUGGAGACAUUACAGAUCCCGACAUACUUGAGCUGACAUCACGCCAGGAGGAGAGUGUGUGUGUUAAGGACGAGAAUGUGUGUGUUAAGAAGACAGGUAUUUUGUCCACAGUGAAGACUGUUGAUAGCAGCCAGGAAGGAGAAAACACAAAGAGGGAUUUGAACCUCCAUGAUACUCAAAACAAUAUUUCCACCCCCACAUACCCCUGCCCUCCUAACCCUACCCUUACAGAGGAGCAGCUCACACACAGCCCCAGCCUUAGCUCUAGCCCCAACUCCAGCCCCCUGCUUGGGGCAGUGGAUGGGGCCACAUGUGUAGAGGAGAUGGAGAGGAUUGAGGUAUACCAAGCGGUCUCAGUGAGGAUGAUCAGUGAGGGGCUGAAAGGAGAGACAGAGGAGGAUGAGGAGGAGGAGGAGACCAUACUCAGCAGCACAGUGGAAACCACACUAACAGAGGUAUCACCAGUCUCCACACUCUCUUCACUAUCCACAGUCUAUCCAGUCUACGCAGUGUCUCUACCCAUGGACUUUACUGUCCACUCAUUCAAAUCUGACCUUAGACCAGUGGAUAUAGAACAUGAAGUUGGAACAAAACCUGAUCAGUAUGAUAUUACUUCUGACAGCAACGCCAAGCCUGAUCAAAACACAACACAUGUGUAUGCUGGGAGACCUGAUAGGGAUGAUGUAAAACCUACUGGAAAUAACAGAAGCCCUGUUGAUGACUCAGAACUCACUGAUUGGCCAGUCCAGGGUGAGGAUAUAGUGGGAAGGUCUGCAGCAACAGAGAAGGAGCCGGAAACCAGUGUGGAACAGAAACACUGGCAGGAAAUGGCUGCCAUCACCAGUCACCCCACAAGAGAGAGCAGCUAUCCUCAGAAUUGUAGAGAGGACAGAGAGAGCAGCAAUCCUUCUCAGGGUUGGGAGGACAGAGAGAGCAGCAAUCCUUCUCAGGGUUGGGAGGACAGAGAGAGCAGCAAUCCUUCUCAGGGUUGGGAGGACAGAGAGAGCAGCAAUCCUUCUCAGGGUUGGGAGGACAGAGAGAGCAGCAAUCCUUCUCAGGGUUGGGAGGACAGAAAGAGCAGCAAUCUUUCUCAGGGUUGUGAGGACAGCGAGAGCGGCCAUCUCUCUGAGGAAAGAGGAGGCUCUACUCCUGUCACUCAGGACCUGCCUAGUGGGGACACUCACUUACAGCCCUGCAAAGGUCCUCCAUCCUCCUUGUCCCAUUUCCUUUCAAUAGGUUCAGAAUGGAGAGAGGGGAGGUUGAGUUCAGAGGGAGGAACUGAACCCACUGACUGCAGAAACCUGUCUGAGAAGAACACAGAGGACGGAACACACGCGGAGGACAGAACACACGCGGAGGACGGAACACACGCGGAGGACGGAACACACGCAGAGGACAGAACACACGCGGAGGACGGAACACACGCGGAGGACGGAACACACGCGGAGGACGGAACAACACGCGGAGGACGGAACACACGCGGAGGACAGAACACACGCGGAGGACAGAACACACGCGGAGGACGGAACACACGCGGAGGACGGAAC
ensembl:lncRNA